rnacentral:rRNA from 1 species
UACGGAGGAGGCAAGCGUUAUCCGGAAUUAUUGGGCGUAAAGCGUCCGCAGGUGGCUAUUCAAGUCUGCGGUCAAAGACUGGGGCUUAACCCUGGAAAGGCCGUGGAAACUGAAGAGCUAGAGUGCAGUAGGGGUAGAGGGAAUUCCCGGUGUAGCGGUGAAAUGCGUAGAGCUCGGGAAGAACAUCGGUGGCGAAAGCGCUCUGCUGGACUGCAGCUGACACUCAGGGACGAAAGCUAGGGGAGCGAAUGGG